GCGGAAUUAGCUCAAUUGGCUAGAGCGCGUCCUUGCCAAGGACGAGGUUGCGAGUUCGAGUCUCGUAUUCCGCUCCA
rnacentral:tRNA from 1 species